rnacentral:pre_miRNA from 1 species
GACAUACUCCCUCUGUCCGUAAAUACUUGUCCUAGAAAUGGUUGUAUCUAGACUUAUUUUAGUUAUAGAUACAUCCAUUUUAUCCAUUUUUAGGACAAGUAUUUCCGGACGGAGGGAGUACAAG